AUUGAACGCUGGCGGCAGGCUUAACACAUGCAAGUCGAGCGGGGUGAUGGUGCUUGCACUAUCACUUAGCGGCGGACGGGUGAGUAAUGCUUAGGAAUCUGCCUAUUAGUGGGGGACAACAUCUCGAAAGGGAUGCUAAUACCGCAUACGUCCUACGGGAGAAAGCAGGGGAUCACUUGUGACCUUGCGCUAAUAGAUGAGCCUAAGUCGGAUUAGCUAGUUGGUGGGUAAAGGCCUACCAAGGCGACGAUCUGUAGCGGGUCUGAGAGGAUGAUCCGCCACACUGGAACUGAGACGCGGCCCAGACUCCUACGGGAGGCAGCAGUGGGGAAUAUUGGACAAUGGGGGGAACCCUGAUCCAGCCAUGCCGCGUGUGUGAAGAAGGCCUUAUGGUUGUAAAGCACUUUAAGCGAGGAGGAGGCCCUUUUGGUUAAUACCCAAGAUGAGUGGACGUUACUCGCAGAAUAAGCACCGGCUAACUCUGUGCCAGCAGCCGCCGUAA
rnacentral:rRNA from 1 species